UACAGGGGGUGCAAACGUUGCUCGGAAUCAUUGGGCGUAAAGCGCACGUAGGCGGUUACUUAAGUCGGAUGUGAAAGCCCUUGGCUCAACUGAGGAAGUGCAUCCGAAACUGAGUAGCUAGAGUACGAAAGAGGGUCGCGGAAUUCCCGGUGUAGAGGUGAAAUUCGUAGAUAUCGGGAGGAACACCGGUGGCGAAGGCGGCGACCUGGGUCGAGACUGACGCUGAGAGACGAAAGCCAGGGGAGCAAACGGG
rnacentral:rRNA from 1 species